AUUGAACGCUGGCGGCAUGCCUUACACAUGCAAGUCGAACGGCAGCACGGGAGCAAUCCUGGUGGCGAGUGGCGAACGGGUGAGUAAAGUAUCGGAACGUGCCCAGUCGUGGGGGACAACGUAGCGAAAGUUACGCUAAUACCGCAUACGAUCUAUGGAUGAAAGCGGGGGAUCGCAAGACCUCGCGCGAUUGGAGCGGCCGAUAUCAGAUUAGGUAGUUGGUGGGGUAAAGGCUCACCAAGCCGACGAUCUGUAGCUGGUCUGAGAGGACGACCAGCCACACUGGGACUGAGACACGGCCCAGACUCCUACGGGAGGCAGCAGUGGGGAAUUUUGGACAAUGGGCGAAAGCCUGAUCCAGCCAUGCCGCGUGCAGGAUGAAGGCCUUCGGGUUGUAAACUGCUUUUGUACGGAACGAAAAGGUUUGGCCUAAUAAGCUGAGCUCAUGACGGUACCGUAAGAAUAAGCACCGGCUAACUACGUGCCAGCAGCCGCGGUAAUAC
rnacentral:rRNA from 1 species